ACGAACGCUGGCGGCAUGCCUAACACAUGCAAGUCGCACGAGACCUUCGGGUCUAGUGGCGCACGGGUGCGUAACGCGUGGGAAUCUGCCCUUGGGUUCGGAAUAACAGUUGGAAACGACUGCUAAUACCGGAUGAUGACGUAAGUCCAAAGAUUUAUCGCCCAAGGAUGAGCCCGCGUAGGAUUAGCUAGUUGGUGAGGUAAAGGCUCACCAAGGCGACGAUCCUUAGCUGGUCUGAGAGGAUGAUCAGCCACACUGGGACUGAGACACGGCCCAGACUCCUACGGGAGGCAGCAGUGGGGAAUAUUGGACAAUGGGCGAAAGCCUGAUCCAGCAAUGCCGCGUGAGUGAUGAAGGCCUUAGGGUUGUAAAGCUCUUUUACCCGGGAUGAUAAUGACAGUACCGGGAGAAUAAGCUCCGGCUAACUCCGUG
rnacentral:rRNA from 1 species